rnacentral:sRNA from 1 species
AAAUGUUCCAAGACGUAAUGGGUCGCCUUUAAGCGUAAAUCUGUUUCAAAUCAACAUUGGAAUCGUCCUAUUAUGCUCAUGGCUCCUAAACAAAAUUUUGGCCUAAUUCCAUUGAGUAAAGUGCUGGAAUA